UCUACGGUCUGUCACUCAAACACAUUCAGUGCCGAGGAGUGAGCCCCGCCCGGUGUGAGCGUUUGGAGGGAACAAGCGGGGAGCGAGUGUGUCUAGAGGGGAGGCUGGAAAUCGGGAGUGGCGUCCCGGGCAAACGCUGCAGCACCGACCGGAGCUGCGAAUUCUUUCAAUAGUGGUGGUGGUGAAGAGACUGGCAGAAACACCGUGAGAUGCUUCGUCUACACGGAAGAUGCCCGGCUUUUGUUUACCACCGUGAAAAGGGCCUAUGUUCUGCAGCUGCCUCCUGCUGCUGGGAGACGGGAGCUGCUGUGCUCUCACCGCUCCCCUGUGCAAGCCGACAGGCUGGAGGGCAAGGGAGAACAAGUACUAUUUAAACCUUUGCCAAACAGGCAGUCUCGGGGUAGCCGAAGACAUUGUGGAGACAUUAGUGGCGAUCUUUCAAUUUUCACUGGAUUCCGGAGUGGAAUAACAGACAGGAUGGACAUCAGAGAAUCUGUAGAUGUUGUUUACUUGGACGUUCAGAAGGCAUUUGACAAGGAGCCACACGAGGCUGCUAAACAUGCUGGAAAACUACAGAUUCUGUGUUAUACUGUAGGCCAAUGAUAACAAACCUGUUCACAAACAAAGGAAAGUCUGCAGGUGCUGGAAAUCCAAGCAACACACACAAAAUGCUGGAGGAACUCAGCAGGCCAGGCAGCACCUAUGGGAAAGAGUACAGUCAAUGUUUCGGGCAAACCUAAUUCUGAUUCUGACUCACUGGACAUCUCUCUUUUACUGGAAGUUGGAAAUGAAGCUGAAAGCAACAAUGAGGAGGAAAACUGUACGUUGGCCUUUUUUGCAAGAGGAUUUGGAUCCAGGUCGAACUUAAACUACAAUAGUGUAAUUAUCAAAAAAAAAACAUAAUUCAAGCAUGUUUCUGAUCUGACAAUGAGGAAUUAUGGUUUCUUACAUCAAAGCAGGUCUAUAAGAGAUGAAGUCAGGUAGUUUUCCUGUGUCUGAGUAAUCCCAGUGUAUCCGACAUCUCACAGUGUCAUGUCUUCUCUGGAUUGCCCUUUUUAUUGUGAUUGUUUGCAUGCAUUUUAAAUUAUUUAAAUCACAAUUUCCCAAACAUUAUAUUUAGCCACUUCUUCACCCUCCUGCCUGACACCUCUAUGUAUCCCUCGACCCCUUGUAUCUUCCCUCAGCUCAGUCUGUCCCCUGCUCUGAACAACAUCAGGAAUAGAAAAAAGAGGAGGUCAUUCAGUUUCUCACACUUGCUGUCCUAACAGAAACACCAUUCGCCUGUGCUGAUGUCAUCUCCAUGAGUUCCAUUCUUAUUGAAAAAAAACCUACCACUGACUCUCUUGAACAUACUGGCUCUCUAAAAAUCCCACACCAAACCCACCCCUGGACUGUGAGCUUGAAAUAUUCACUCCUUCUUGGUGAAUUAAUUUAUUAUCUUCGGAAUGGUCGUCUCCUCACUGUGACCCCUCCUUCUAGAUGCCCCAGAAACCAGAAACAUCAGCCCUACAUCUUCCCUGUGAAGUCAGGAAGAAGUCUGUAAGAUUCAGUUUGAUGGCCACACAUUCUUUGAAAUUAUGGUUUGUGUGAUUUUGCUCCUGAUAGUCCAACAGAAGAGGUGCACAGGGAUGUGGCCAUCACCUCAUGCAUACUCCAUUCCCUACUCAUGCCACACACACACACACAUCUGGGCUGAGGCACAGAAAACUAUGCCUACUGCCUCCCCUCUAACCCUCCAAACCUUGAUCCUUCCUCUGACUGUUCCCUACCCCUCAAUCACCACCCAGCCUCCCUUAGACCCUCUCUCCCACGUCUCCACGUCCUGCCUCUUCCUCCUGCAUUCCCCACACAGACCCUCACUCCCACUCCACCUUCUGAGCCUCGGCACUCCCCCUCCUCUCCACAUCCUCCCUCACCCCACCUCCAUGCACCCCUCACCCCAGUCCAUCCUACUCCCUCACUCUCCAGCUCUGUGAACAUGACUUCAUUUGCCAAAAGGCCCCCACCAGGGAGUCAAAGGUCAUCACACACUCCUCCCUGUGUGGGUUUCUCUCUGCCCCUCUGACUCUCAGAUUUCCAGUGCCUCGUUCUCUCCAUCUGGGACAGUGGAACACAAGAUUAUGAUUGAAUAACUGUUACCAAGACAAUUUUAAUGGAUGGCUGGGACUGGCAGCUCGGUAUUCCUGAGCACAGCAGCUACAGGUGUGAUAGAAAUGGAGAUCAGAGAUCGGGGAGGGGGCGGGUCACGAUGUCGGUUAGGGAGAGCAUCACCACUCAGCUUACAGAGAUGUUCCUGGGGGGAAUUUGCAGUGAGGCUAAAUUAGUAGGUUAAAAAUAAGAGGGAGGCAAACAUUGGAGCAAUUUUCUCUACAGUACUUCAAGAGAUACACUUAGGAGGGCAUCCAGUGAGAUUAUAGUGGUUGAAGUUAGAAAUGAGAGGAGGAUAAUCACUUUGUUGGGAUUUAAGUAUAGGUACCCAAAAGUCAGUGGGAAUUGUGAGAGCCCAAUUGAAGGGAGUUUGCAGAUAUCUUUUGGAAUAAUAAAUAUGCAAUCAGAGGUGACUUCAACAUCCUUAAUAUUGUCUGGGACAGAGGGAUCUGCCAGGGCACAAUUUGUAAAACGUGUUCCUGAAAUUUUGACAAGCUUUAUGUAGAUAGUUCAACUAGAGAAGGGAUUACACUUGACUGCCUUCUAGUAACUAAGGGUGGGGAAAUGGUUAGUCUGUCAGUGGGGAAGCAUUUUGCCCAAGUGAGCAUCUUUCUGUGAGUUUUAAAAUAAUUAUGGAGAAAACGGGUCUGUGCUGAACCUGCAUCUACCUGAAAAGCUGAGAAGAAAGAGUCUCUCUCUCUCUGUCUCUCUCUGUCUCUCUCUCUCUGUCUCUCUCUCUCUCUAUCUCUAUCUCUCAGUCUCUUCCCCCCACCCCCUCGCUCUGCCUCUGACACACACACAUACCACGUGAGCUCAGGUAUUUACCUUUAUCCACAGCCUCGUCUUCACUUGUGCUUACACCCAGUCUCACCUGAACCUCCCUCAGAAUUGAUCCCUCCUGUCCUCUCCUUCAGUGUUUCUCCAGCCCCCACUCUGUAUACCCUUCCUCAGACCUCUUGCCUCCAACACUUGCCCACCCCUCCCUUUGCUGCACCCUGUUUCCCACAUGGUACCUUCCUGUGACCCCUGCAUUGGGCUCUCCUUCCCACCCGAGUGAGUGAGGCUGAGUGACGGAUGGGGCGAAAGGGGCACUGGAACACUGAGUGAAGGAGGGGCAGAAAGAAACCCACACUGAGAACCACGUGUGAUCUUUGAUCCUUCACUCCCUGCUCUCCCAGUGAGGUUCCCAGGGCUGGACGAUGGGAGAGGAAAGGGGUAGACUUCCAUCUGACCCUCAACCUCAUUCAUCCUUUUAAUGCUCUGAAUUCUGGACUCUGCCAAUCCAGCUGAUAA